AUUUGUCUAGAUAAGUACUUGCUCCUGCAGUUUUUCCUACAUGCCUUAUCAUGGAGAGGUGGCUUAGGAGGAGAGAUGAGAGAAGGUAACUAAGGAAUGAAGGGAAAGUCCAUACAGUGGUAAUGGCAGAGGAGGGCGGGACUUUUAUGCUGAAGUGCUUUCCAACUAAAUUUUCACUGACGUCACUUUUUACACAAUAUCCUUGAAUAGCACCUGUGUGUAUGGGGGUUGUCUGUCAGCUUUGAGUAAAAAGCAUAACCCAUACCUACAAAACAUUUCCAUCAGUGUCCAACAUGGUCAGUCAGACAGCUAGCAUCCUUGCAGCACUAAGGCCGCAGAGGGACCUGUCGCUUCCUCUCUGAAAACUCCAGAUACUGUAGAUUGGUGCAAAUUCCUUCUUUUUCAACCUCUGCAGCUGGACCACAGGUACUCUAGGAGCUCCAGUAUGGUUCAAACGCCUAUGGUCCACCUUUUUCCCCCUCUCCUCUACCAAACAAAUCCCCUUGUUGGAGAAAUCCAAGAAAAAAAUAUCCUGGACGAAUACAAAAUCUGCAUGGAAGUGAUGCACAUGUUCCAUGCCCGAUUUGAAUAUUACCCUUACCAGAAUGAGGACAGCAUUAGGAGAUUGUUGGACAGCGAUGAUCACUCUGUUCACUUCCUGCCAGUGGUUGACACGACAAAAUUCAAACGACAGAUUUGCCUCCAGCUCAGCUGUCUGCUGUCCUUCCUCGGACAAUCUUGUGCCAAGCCCUCCACGCUGCACCACAACUUUGCGCGCCUGCCAGCGCUGUGGCCGAAAGCGCCACUUGAAACUAUGGCGACACCCCUGCGGUCAUUACUUCUGCCGCGUCUGCAUGGACACAAUCAUAGAUGCUGGCUUCCGGAACAUUGAGGGCCUGGACUCAAGUCCGUGCCCUUUGUGCAGAGCACAGGCGAUCACUGCUGUGUGAUUCUCCAAAGCUAUGCAGUUAGAUAGUGGGAGAAUAAGGACAAUAUUUUAGACAACGGUAGUAUGAAGGGGGAAUGAAAUGGUUAGCAAUAGAUUAGGCUAAAAGUAAGAUUUUUUUCUAUGUAAUGCUUCAUCAAGAAACUGUUACAUUAUUAUGGUGCUGGUGUGUAAUAAAAAAAAAAUUGCU